GCCAGGUGUGGUGGCGCACGCCUGUAAUCCCAGCUACUAGGGAGGCUGAGGCAGGAGAAUCACUGGAACGCGGGACGCAGAGGUUGCAGUGAGCUAAGCUCGCACCACUGCACUCCAGCCUGGGUGACAGAGUGAGAUUCUGUCUCAA
rfam:Homo sapiens chromosome 7, GRCh38 reference primary assembly.